rnacentral:rRNA from 1 species
UGGGGAAUAUUGGACAAUGGGCGCAAGCCUGAUCCAGCAAUGCCGCGUGAGUGAUGAAGGCCUUAGGGUUGUAAAGCUCUUUCGCACGCGACGAUGAUGACGGUAGCGUGAGAAGAAGCCCCGGCUAACUUCGUGCCAGCAGCCGCGGUAAUACGAAGGGGGCUAGCGUUGUUCGGAAUUACUGGGCGUAAAGGGCGCGUAGGCGGCCUGUUUAGUCAGAAGUGAAAGCCCCGGACUCAACCUGGGAAUAGCUUUUGAUACUGGGCAGGCUUGAGUUCCGGAGAGGAUGGUGGAAUUCCCAGUGUAGAGGUGAAAUUCGUAGAUAUUGGGAAGAACACCGGUGGCGAAGGCGGCCAUCUGGACGGACACUGACGCUGAGGCGCGAAAGCGUGGGGAGCAAACAGGAUUAGGAUACCCUGGUAGUCCACGCCGUAAACGAUGAAUGCUNGACGUCGGGGUGCAUGCACUUCGGUGUCGCCGCUAACGCAUUAAGCAUUCCGCCUGGGGGAGUACGGCC